GACGAACGCUGGCGGCGCGCUUAACACAUGCAAGUCGAACGGAAAGGCCUGCUUUCCCUUGUGGAUUGCGGGUACUCGGGUGGCGAACGGGUGAGUAACACGUGAGUGAUCUGCCCCCAACUUGGGUAUAAGCCUGGGAAACUGGGUCUAAUUCCCGAUAGGACUGCAGGGUGGUGCCUGUGGUGGAAAACGAUUUUCUAGUGGUUGGGGAUGAGCUCGCGGCCUAUCAGCUUGUUGGUGGGGUAAUGGCCUACCAAGGCGGCGACGGGUAGCCGGCCUGAGAGGGUGGACGGCCACAUUGGGACUGAGAUACGGCCCAGACUCCUACGGGAGGCAGCAGUGGGGAAUAUUGCACAAUGGGCGGAAGCCUGAUGCAGCGACGCCGCGUGGGGGAUGACGGCCUUCGGGUUGUAAACUCCUUUCGACCGCGAGGAAGCCACCUGGUUGGAAGGGUGGUGACGGUAGUGGUAGAAGAAGCACCGGCUAACUACGUG
rnacentral:rRNA from 1 species